GCCAUACUUUGCACUGCAUGAGAUUUUUCAAAACUGAUGGAGGUUGGACAAAAGGUGUGGAAGAGAGAGCUGAGGACAGAGCAGAGGAGGAAAGACCAUCCUCACCCCUCCGUGAUCAUAGAGCAGCUUCACCAGAUAUUUAGUUUAUUUCUGAUCACGAGGCUGGCCCAUCAGAGUCUACGAGGAGACAUACUUCAGUUCCACAGCC
rnacentral:lncRNA from 1 species